CAUCUUUACCUUGAUCAUGCGGAGCACCCCGCCUGCCAUGCUCUCAUUUCUCUCCCACGGAAGUUCUACAGCAGGAAUUCAUAGUAAGAAGAUGAGUGUGGAGAGUAUUCAUGGAAGAAGACUUAAGCCAGCAAGCUGUUUAUCUUGGGACUUCUGCCCAGCCCACUGAAUGGAAUGUGGAGCCAAGAAAUGGAAAAGCUGAAUCACCAAAGGUUAUGUCACUCACCCAAGAUCACACAAGAAGGGUGGAGGCAUUGUACCAACUACUUUUUUCUGAGUUCAUGACUGAGCCCAGGCACAUCAGAACCCUUCAUCGUUUUUCCCUCUAGCACAUGGGAAGGAUAGCAUUCAGGAAAGACCUACUACCCCAGGAAUCUUCACUUCUGUCCGCUGUGGUCCUUAACUACUUCUCACCAUCUCUUGGAGCCUUUGGAUUCCUUCUCUGGAUAAUGUUUCAAAAUGCUUAACAAAAAACAAAUGGAAAUACCCAGAAUCACAGAGGAAACCAAUGAUGUUGAAAUACAAUUUUUGAACCAUUAAAACAUCACAUUUUUUAUGUAACAAUGUAUAUGCUUCUGUAUUAAUACUUAAUAAGACACAAUGGCAAGUUUAAUAACUAUCAAAAUUAUGAGAUACUGAUGAG